CAGCGAGGUCAGCGCGCAGCCCUGCGGGCGGUCACUUCAGCCCCAGGCGUUUCCCUUCAGCGCUGCCGGAGCGCGGGCACGCAGCGAGGCGAGGGAGCCGCCUCCUGCCUGCAAUGGGUCGUAGCACGGCGCUCCUGAGCCACCUUGUGCCGAAGGAUCAGCUGCAGGACCUCCAAGUCGCCUCACCGGCAGCAAGCGCCGGGGCUGCUGGAGCAGGAGCGCCUCGCUUUGCGGCCUUCGGUCUCCCCCGACGGCAUUCGCCACGGGAAGCCACAGCGGCUAAAAGAAACCCGCAGGAAGGGGUGUUGGGUGCUGGGAGCGCAGAGGGCCACGGUGGCCGCCUGAGGAGCUCUCAAGGCAGCCUUUGCCCAGAGCGUGUUGCGAUACGCUGGUGGGUGUGGGGGCACCCGUCUGCCACAUGCGUGUAGGGGGCAGACCGGAGGCCACACAAUCCCAAAAGCACAAUGUUCCUGACUUACCUGCUUCCCCAUAAGGUAGGUAUUUCAUGGCCAGCCUGCCAAAAACGAGCCCGUUACGGGGCCAAACUGGAGGGGAGGGUGUUGGGGGUGUUCUGGUGUUGGGGCUCUGAGCUGCCCCUUCACCCUCUUACCCUGCUCUGAAAUCUCUUGCUGCAAACAAACCCAGUCAGUUUUGGGGAGGAAAAAGCCUUUUUUCCUUCCCGUAGGACUUGCUGGGUAAGGGACACCUGCCAGACCCUCACCACUAGAUGGCAAUGUGUGACCGCGGUGGGUGGUGCCACGGCGCCCAGGGGUGCGAUUUUGGGGCAGAGCAGGUGUGUCCCGGUGCCCCGGCCUCUAUAUAUCCAUGGCUCUGAUUUCCUGAGCUGUACUGGGUCUUUUGCAGCCAUUACAAGCUUUUAUGAUGAUGUUUAAACGUUGUUUCUCACAGCAAGCAGUCCCCCAAGCGCUGCGUGCGUAGACGAACCCUGCAUCAGCUCCUGCCUCGCCCGACUUGAUGAUGAGCCAGAAAUAAAGCAGAAUUAAAAGGACUGCA
rnacentral:lncRNA from 1 species